rnacentral:rRNA from 1 species
UACGAAGGGGACUAGCGUUGUUCGGAUUUACUGGGCGUAAAGCGCGCGUAGGCGGAUCGCUAAGUCAGGGGUGAAAUCCCAGGGCCCAACCCUGGAACUGCCUUUGAUACUGACGGUCUGGAGAUCGGGAGAGGUUGGUGGAAUUCCGAGUGUAGAGGUGAAAUUCGUAGAUAUUCGGAGGAACACCAGAAGCGAAGGCGGCCAACUGGCCCGAUACUGACGCUGAGGCGCGAAAGCGUGGGGAGCAAACAGG